rnacentral:rRNA from 1 species
AGAGUUUGAUCCUGGCUCAGAUUGAACGCUGGCGGAAUGCUUUACACAUGCAAGUCGAACGGCAGCACGGGAGCUUGCUCCUGGUGGCGAGUGGCGAACGGGUGAGUAAUGCGUCGGAACGUACCGAGUAAUGGGGGAUAACGCAGCGAAAGCUGUGCUAAUACCGCAUACGCCCUGAGGGGGAAAGUGGGGGAUCGCAAGACCUCACGUUAUUCGAGCGGCCGACGUCUGAUUAGCUAGUUGGUGGGGUAAUGGCCUACCAAGGCGACGAUCAGUAGCGGGUCUGAGAGGAUGAUCCGCCACACUGGGACUGAGACACGGCCCAGACUCCUACGGGAGGCAGCAGUGGGGAAUUUUGGACAAUGGGGGCAACCCUGAUCCAGCCAUUCCGCGUGAGUGAAGAAGGCCUUCGGGUUGUAAAGCUCUUUCAGCUGGAACGAAACGGUACAGG